rnacentral:rRNA from 1 species
UACGGGGGGGGCAAGCGUUGUUCGGAAUUACUGGGCGUAAAGGGCUCGUAGGCGGCCAACUAAGUCAGACGUGAAAUCCCUCGGCUUAACCGGGGAACUGCAUCUGAUACUGGAUGGCUUGAGAUUGGGAGAGGGAUGCGGAAUUCCAGGUGUAGCGGUGAAAUGCGUAGAUAUCUGGAGGAACACCGGUGGCGAAGGCGGCAUCCUGGACCGGUAUUGACGCUGAGGCGCGAAAGCGUGGGGAGCAAACAGG